UAGUUUGGCGGGGACCAUGAUUGCCGCUGCACUGUCACGUGACAGCGUUUCGAGGCGGACAUAUAUACCAGUGGCACCGCCUCCUUCUUCCCUUUUGCUGAGCCGGUGCGUGCGGUACAGGGGCCUGGCGGCUGGCCAUGAUACAUCAAGCAAGUUCUUCCCUCGCUGGUAAUUACAAAACUGCAGACCGAGACCUGAUGUCACUUGCUAAGGUUUUAAUGGAGGAAGUUGGAAGCCCCAUAGAAGGAAGAUUCUCUGGCCUGAAGCAUGAAUCCUGAUGAUGAAAGGCUGCAUAAAAUAGGUUGGCUUCGGAUGACCACCUGCCUGAUGUAUGGAGAUAAAAAUUCCAACUUGAACACAGUUCCAUAAUGUUUGCAGGGAGAGUAAAGCACAGGACACUUCAUACAAAGGCUUCCAGAGGGUGCUUGGGUAUCCUGACUGGGGUGACUUGGACGUACAGAGUGCCGUUAUUAGCAGUGGUCCUGGCCCUGUCUUGAAUAAAUUUGGCAUUAAUAUUAGAAGAUGAUGGAUGAUCAAGACAGCAUUUCAAGUGAGAGGGCUGGAGUGCACUCCUGGAAAAAGGAUCACUUUGCUGAGAUCCAGACUUAACACGGCUACCCCUCUGAUACUUGUAAUAUAGGUGUGCUCAUUUUUAGUCAUGAGAAUAGAAGAAUUACCAGACAUGAACUUGAUAUGAGUAAAGUUGGUCAAACAGUCAGUGAAGCAGUCAGCCCUCUGCCUGCCUGAGAGGGAGCAAAAUUGGUUUUAAUGGACAGUUGAGGAACCAGAAAGUGUGAAGAUGUCAGAUUGUGUAUCCAACGACUCCUAAGUUGGUUUGUGUGUGGGGGGGUGGUGGUGGUGGGUUUUUUUUGCACAGAAGACCGUGCCCUUGCUUCUGAGGUGUUUGGGCAUAGUCAUGGAGGGGCCAGAGUCAGUCCUGCAGCAGUGGGUGUGUCAAGCUGGAGGGAAGCAGUCUCUCUGCCACCCCAUUUAGAUGAUCAGUUUGGCCUGGAGUCCUUGCUCUGCAGUCCUGCCUGCACUCAGAGCCCACCAGGGCCUUUUAAGGGGCUUGCAAGGGUGUUGAAAGGACAGAUGGGGCGGCAGUGCUUGCUGUGUUCUACCCUUGCCACAAAAGGUGACAUGACUUCUGGAUGAAGAGUCCUACAAAUUUGUCAGAAAAGAUUAAGUUCAGAAUGUCUUGUAGAAGCAUGUGACAAGUGGGGCAACACUGAUACACACUUUGGUCUCUUCUUAAAUAUCCAAUUAAGAAACGAGACUUGCUCUAAACUUAAACUUUUGCCAUGUGUCUUUUAACCAGCACUAAGUAGACUUUAGAAGUAAAAUAGCUGUCUAACAAAUUGAAAUGUGCUAAAAUAAACUAAUCAAAAAUAACUA